GCAAGUCAUUCUUUAAAGGGAUUACUUCGACGAAGCCUUAACUGUGCGUUCGUGACCUGUUUGCUGUCGAUGGCGCAUGCUUAUAUGCUUGAUGUUGUCUAUUGGCCAUUAACCCCAAAUUCGGCUGCCGUGUUCAUUUUCCGAGUGACGUCAUGAAACCGUGAGUUAUCCCACUCGCACUGUGAUGAAUGUCCUGGUGUCGUCGACACAGCGCCCGUGACGUCUCUGUCCCUAUCCCUAUAGCGCUUUGACGUAGUUAUUUGCACGCGAAAGUAAUGCUUGCAUCACUCAUUUACAAUCUUAAGUGACGCACGCUCCAAAUGAAUACGAUAUCAUCUUUAUCAAAAUAGGUAAGUUAAAGGAGGGCGGAGGGCUUAAAGAUUUAUUGGAAAUUCGAUAUUUUACGGGUCACAAAGCAGUGAGUAACAACCGUUUUCACGCUCAAUGGUGCGUUAUGUUUUGAUUUAGUGUGUUUAUAUACUUAUGCAUACAGGUUUUCGAGAGUUGAAGUACUUUUAAAACUUGUAUUUUUACGGGUCUAUUAUAGAAAUAGUUGUCCAAGCAGACCGAUCGAUUCGAUAUCUGACUUCUGACUGAUUUGGACAGAGUUCAAGUUCCCGUAGUGGAUGGUAUUUGCAUUCUCGGAAACGGAAAUAUAAAUAGCUUACAAUCUUUUUUCUCGGAUAAGAUAAUUAUUAUCGAUUAAGUACUCGCGUACGCGAAAUAGUGGGUGCAGCCGAUUGAAAGAAGGACAAUUGCGUGCACGAUUUACCGAAAAAGCUUAAGCUGAGAGCAGAGGUACACUCUCAACUGUGUGAUACUAAAGGAAUAUGAGUGGCCAUCUUUCUAUUGCCUGACGCAAAUUAACAUGUUUUCGUUUUAAAUUUAACCUUUAACCUCUGCAUUCAUGCUCUCUUGUGUUACAUUACUAUUGUCAUUAACUGAAAGUCUGUUGGUCGGCCUAACGAGAUGUGCUCUGAGUUGGGUCGUAGUUGGAUUGAAGUUCCACUUCGUAAUCGACUCAAAUUGAGAAUUUGUGGAGAUCUUUACCUGAUUUAUGAUUUCUUUUUUGUUUUUGAUGAUUACAUCAAAUCGUUUUUAUUGAAAACCACAAAUAAAGUAUUAUUACGUUUUAUGA